AGUCAGCUGGACAGUCGCUGUUUGGAUUUCUUUGUUAGUCGUUUAGGCGACUUUAUAAGGUGCUAAGCAGAGGAAAGUCCGGGCUCCAUAGAGCAGAACGCCAGGUAACGCCUGGGAGGCGAAAGCCUACGGAAAGUGCAGCAGAGAGUAGACCGCCAACCCCGAUGCAAAUCGGGCGGUAAGGGUGAAAGGGUGCGGUAAGAGCGCACCGCGCGACUGGCAACAGUUCGUGGCACGGCAAACCCCGUUCGGAGCAAGACCAAAUAGGAAUCCAAGGGUGUGGCUCGCACUGGAUUCGGGUAGGUUGCUUGAGGCUGACAGUGAUGUCAGUCCCAGAUGAAUGACUGUCCACGACAGAACCCGGCUUAUAGGCUGACUCA
rnacentral:RNase_P_RNA from 1 species